GCUGGGUUUGGUAACGCGAGCCUGUAACCCAAGUGGGAGCAAUAAGACGGUGGAACAAUUGGGCUUGCCCUGAAGGCUGGGCUCGGAGUGCAAUAUUCUGGCCUGCCCGUUCCAAGUGGUGAGUUGUUCGGUGGAGUCUCCGCGAAGGCGGAGGAUUCUCUGUCCUUAGAUCGGAGGGCACUGCGUGAGGCUGGCUUAACAGAGCAGCGAUAACCUCCUCCUCUCUGCAGUGGAAGGAUAACGAGCCGGUGCAUUCUUGGUCCACUAGAGCCUGAUGGGCUGUCCAAAUUGAACCACCAUCUUU
rnacentral:SRP_RNA from 1 species